UUUUAAAUUUUUUAUCUAUUUGUACUGUUAAAAAUUGACAUCCCUGACGGAAUAACCAGACUUGUGCUGACGUUAAGAGACCAGUUUUUAAUAGUAGAAAUGGAUGGAAUUUUUAACA
rfam:Gossypium raimondii Chr03_contig_18, whole genome shotgun sequence.